CGGAUCUGGAAAGACAGUUAAUUGUGCUCUGAACAGAUCAACUAAUUCUGACUGAAUAGCAAAAGAUCUGGUAAUUCUCGCACUUUAAACACAUGGCUUUGCAAGAUGUUUGCUGGAAAAUGUGCCAGCUUAAACUAAAACCAGACUGAACGAUGAUAACCUUCAUUGGAAGAACAUACCUGUGGAAGUUGUCCAAUGGGUUAAAGACAAGAGGACAGACAGACCAGCAGACUGACUGACACACAGACAAACAGC